GAUGAACGCUGGCGGCGUGCCUAAUACAUGCAAGUCGAACGCAUAGCGAAAGGUGCUUGCACCUUUCAAGUGAGUGGCGAACGGGUGAGUAACACGUGGACAACCUGCCUCAAGGCUGGGGAUAACACUUGGAAACAGAUGCUAAUACCGAAUAAAACUUAGUGUCGCAUGACCCAAAGUUAAAAGGCGCUUUGGCGUCACCUAGAGAUGGAUCCGCGGUGCAUUAGUUAGUUGGUGGGGUAAAGGCCUACCAAGACAAUGAUGCAUAGCCGAGUUGAGAGACUGAUCGGCCACAUUGGAACUGAGACACGGCCCAAACUCCUACGGGAGGCUGCAGUAGGGAAUCUUCCACAAUGGGCGAAAGCCUGAUGGAGCAACGCCGCGUGUGUGAUGAAGGCUUUCGGGUCGUAAAGCACUGUUGUAUGGGAAGAACAGCUGGAAUAGGAAAUGAUUUUAGUUUGACGGUACCAAACCAGAAAGGGACGGCUAAAUACGUG
rnacentral:rRNA from 1 species